GGCAGCAUGUAGCCAAGCCCCUUCUGCCUGGCAGCAGUAGGUGCUCCAAACGCCUCGGCCAGGGAGCAGUGUGCCUGCAUAGUCGUGGCAAAGCCUAGGCCCAAAGGUUGGUAUGAAGAAAACCUUCCCCCCUUGCAGAUUGCCAGGCAGCUGCUGGUGUCCUGCAAUUUUGCCCAAGUCUGAAAAUCGGCCCCUUGCCCAAGGAGACAGAGGCUGCCAGGGUUUCUUUGAGCAAUGCCAACAACUGCCUCACGCUGGUGGAUCUGGCCCAUCCGCAGGAGACACUGUGCAGCCGACGCGCAGGAUGGGGCUGCUCGGCCGCGGACAGAGGAGGAGGAGGAGCAGCGCCGGAUCUCUCUUGGUAGUGCCUGUCCUGCUGCCACUGCUGGUUUGGUUUAAACUCCGAAGCCGAUUUCCCACAAAGGUAAUUUUCUGCUUCUCUGACUCAAUUCUAUUCAUCUUUUAGAGGGUAAUUAGUAUCACUUCAGUGUUCUUUUAUGCCCAACUAAUUGCACCUUGCUUCAGGAGUGAAAGUUAAUGCCUCUCCUUUGAGGUUAGCGCAGCAAUAUCUAAUUAGGGACCAGGCCAGGCAGAAAUGUGUACCAGGAGCACCACUGUCUUCGGACUUUGUUUGCACCCGUGGAAACGUUUCCCAUUUUAUGUUUGAGCUGCUUCUGGAUGCUUCAGCUGUGUGGUAAUGAAUCUGCUGCACUAAUGCCGUCUGUACAGUGCCGCAUGCAGCAGCCUCUGCGUCUCUGAGAGCAGCUAGAAGAGAGGGGAUUACACUUCAGCUUUCAUGGAGGCUAAAAGGUCUUGGCAAGCUGGGUCUGCCUGCGCUCAAGUGCCUCGAGGCAGCAGCAGGAGAUGGGUUUCAAGGACACACUGUAGCUGCACAGUUUUCAGAGCAAACAAAAAUAGUGUACUAAGCGUACCACCUGCAUUUCCACCUGUGCAGGAUGCUCACCAGGGUUGUUGGCCUCCUGCGCCGCAGGAGGGGCUGGAUCCCGACUUUGGGACCUGUUUUGUUCCCGCGGGAGAAGCGCAAGCGACUGAAUGCCGGCUGCCAGGCGAUGCCAGGUCCUCUGGCAGGACGCGCCACUGCUGUGCAGGGACACGCGCUCAUCAGCUGUGCCACAAAGGGAGCCGCUGCCCGUCCCCUGCGAAGGAGAUGGAGGGACCUGCACAUGCGACUGUGCGGUCGGAAACGGCAGCGACCAGUCAGGCAGAGGCUGUUCAAAAUAGCUGCUGUCAGCACCUGAAAAUUAAUUUGUGCUGGCGCUUUUGCGAAGUGGAGGUGGAGGUGGAAAGGCACCGUCUGGCCGUCCUGCCUUGCACUGCCGACGGAGCCGGAGCGUUUCUGCCGCCCGCGGCCCUUCCCGGGGCUCCAGCGGCUGGUGCCCCUCCGUGGUCCCUGUCCUGGCAGGACAUCACCGGGAAUCAGCUCUGGCUCCGGCAGAGGAGCCCUGCUGAGAGCGCGUCCUGUGCCGCUGCGUGGGCCGUGCCAGGCGCCUGGCAGCCCGCUGCUCGCUCCCCUUUCCUCUGA
rnacentral:lncRNA from 1 species